UUACGGUCACAUCACGUCGAAACACCGGUUACAGUACAAUCACCGAAAUUAAGCAACGUCGAGCUUGGUCAGUUCCUAAAUGGGUGACCAUCUGGGAAUACCAGGUGCUGUAAG